rfam:Glycine soja cultivar W05 scaffold2984_13, whole genome shotgun sequence.
AUGGAUGUGAUGAUUAUUUCCCCAGAUGAUCGACGCUGAACAUACUGAGCGAUUUUUUCUCUUUCGAGAAACCAAGCCAAUAAAUCUGAUCCAU